rnacentral:rRNA from 1 species
AGAUCGAACUGUAGAGUUUGAUCCUGGCUCAGAUUGAACGCUGGCGGAAUGCUUUACACAUGCAAGUCGAACGGCAGCACGGGGGCAACCCUGGUGGCGAGUGGCGAACGGGUGAGUAAUACAUCGGAACGUGCCCAGUCGUGGGGGAUAACGUAGCGAAAGUUACGCUAAUACCGCAUACGAUCUACGGAUGAAAGCGGGGGACCGUAAGGCCUCGCGCGAUUGGAGCGGCCGAUGUCAGAUUAGGUAGUUGGUGAGGUAAAGGCUCACCAAGCCGACGAUCUGUAGCUGGUCUGAGAGGACGACCAGCCACAC